CAGAGAGUACAGAGAGUGUCGAACGACACGCGCGCUUUUUGGGCGCACCUCAUUUUUGUAGCGUUAGAAACACGCUGGCAGUUAGUCGCCGCUGCUGCCGACCUAUUUAAUACACUCACAGCCGCAGACGGAGAAUAUAUGCCCAAAGCGAGCUUUUAGCAGCUACAUUUGAACACUGAACCCAUAACUAUGCGUACAUACAUACGUUUAAAUGUAAAUUUGUUGUUACAUGCUUGUGCUUUUACUUAGCGCGUUAGCAACACGCUCUUUAGUUGCUAUGACUUUUUCUGUAUUUAUUACAACAAUCUCACGCCUAACGAAAAAAGGGGAAAGAGCUUACGCCGCUGUUGACGCUGACGCAAUACCAUUAGAUAUAGAUAUGUACAAACAUACAUACAUUCAUAUACAUAUACAACAAAUUGCGCUCUUUAACUUUGAAUUCCUACACAACCCACCACCACUACCCACCGCCGACCGAUUGACCAACCAAAAAGUUGCUGCUCAGCUACACGAGCAUGCCCACACUCAUACACACACUCUAACUCUGCGCUGAAAGCAUACACAAGCGUGCGCACAUACACCACCUUUUCAGUGCAUAGAUACAAAAAUGUAUCUGUGCGCGCGCCUAAAUUGAUUGCGUAGUGGCGCUGCAAAGCUACAAAAAUCUAACGAAACGAAACGAAACGAGCAUCUGUUUGAGUGGCAGCAGAAUAAAUUAGAAAAAAAGUAAAAUAAAUUGAAAAAGCACACAUACAUAUGUAUGUAUGUAUCUACAUAGUACAUACAUAUGUAUGUGCAUAUGUACACUUUAAGUGUAGUUGAAACGUUGCUUUGCAUGGCCUACAUAAGAAAUUGUUUCAAUAUCGCUCUGCUGUAUUCUAAUAAUCCGUUCGGCUUAUCACAAUAUUAAUAAUUCAUAUAAAGAAUUAUAAAAAAAUUAAUACAAUUAUUAAUACAGCAAUAUUUUUUUUUUCGCACCAUAUUUUCAAUUUAAAAAUGUUUGGCAGAGUUCAACGGUAAUCUGUUUUUGCAAUUAAAAGAUAUGCUCAGUCAAGCUGCAAGUCAAUAAAAUCGUUUGGCGGCGACGCAUCAAUUGAAAAGAAUGUCAAUGAUAUUAUCAAUAUUUUCAUGAAAUUUUCAUUGCAUCGUGCGGAGGCUUACUAGUCAAAGCCAGCGCAUACAAGGCAUUCACGUGACUACAUAUUUAUUUUCAGCAUAUAUGUCCUUCAUUAACUUGCCUUUCCAAUUGAGUAAAGGCAUAUCUCUUCUUCUGCUUCCACAAUGUGUACUACGUCGAACACUUUCAUUGUUGAGACGACAUGACCUAGCCAGUAUAGACGCUGUAUCUUUAUUCGGUGAAAAAUGUCAAAAUCGCCGCGAAGAUUCAUACAGCGUUCCUAAAACCUAUCUCUCGAUAACAACUAGCACUCUCUAAUCUGAAGCCAUUAUCCACGCUGCAUUACUUAAUUUGCUCAUUCCCUUCACAGUUAUAAUUAGUUCAUUUAUUUAAUAAUAAUAAUAUUAAACCUAACAAAUACCCUUUACCCGCCCAGCCGACACGAGAGAAUUAUUCGCAUGGCGUACGGAACAAGCCGAGUCAUGAUUGGGAAGCUACAAAAAAAAAAUAGUUAUUCAGCAACUGAAAUUUAGUAAUUAUUGUAUUUUAAAAUUGUUGAGAGAAGUAAGAAUCGUUUUCUUUUGAUGCUAUGAAAUGAGUCUGGAGGAUCGAAGGCGCUGGAAUGAAAUUUAAAUUUGUGACACAAUCGGCCAAAAGGUUCAUUCAAUUCAUAAUUUCUAUUACACGACUUUGAUAGUAACGGUAUGAAGUGCUUAGAUAUACGAGUUGAUACAUUAAAGUUUACCUCCGAGAAAAACCAUGAACUACAAAGUGAACCGUUAAGAGGUUUCACCACGAACAACGCGCCAAACAUUUUUCUACGACGUGCGAGAGUCGGUAGAUUUAGAAGCUUUAAACGGUGGUAUCGGGAGGGUGAUUUAUCGUUGCGUGUGCGUUUACAAUAAAAAAGCUGAAAAACAA